UUUAGUUCUGUUAGUUUAUUAUUUAUAAAUUAAAAUAAAAUAUUCAUAAUAUUUUAAUCCGCAAAAAUGCUGUAGGCAAGAUGGCGUCGUGCCAUUUUCUCUGACAUAACGUGCUUGUAAACAACAAGGUUGUAACUUGUAAACAAACGUCAAGUUUUAUAUCUGUUAAGGAAUAAUUGGCGAUUUGUGUGAAACUUUAAGUGAUUUAUGUGUAAAAUGAGUUACAAAUGGUGUGCAGUGCCAAAAUGUACGAAUACGUCAAUUAAAACCCCGGAAAAGCUAUUUAUAUGUGUUCCAAGGAAUAUCCAAAUGCGUCGAAAGUGGUUGGAACUUUCUCGGAGGAAUUGUGAUGAAAUAAUGCCGAGUUCAAAUAUUUUUUUUUGUGAAGACCACUUCAAUUUGCAACAAGACAUGGCAAAUUAUUGCGAGUAUAAAAUGGGGUUCAGCCAGAGGAUAAUUAUGGUGGAUAAAGUUUUGCCUUCUAAAUUUAGUUGUCAGUCAGACUGCAAUAAAACAAUUAGUGAUGCUGGCACUUCUUGUAAAGCAUUUGUCAAGAGAAAAAGAAAGAGGCUCAUUCAUGAAUGUGAAAACACCUUACAACAACCAAUAAUCACCAAAAAUUGGCCUUCUGCUAUUAUAGAACCAACUUUACUCAAAUACCUACCCAAUGAUACUGUAGAACCUAUAAUAAACAACAACCAGGCUGUUGAUGAACAAUAUAUAUUGGGGUUAUAGGAAUUAUUGAAGUUGGGUGACAAAAGUACAUCAAUAGAUAGUUUUUUCAAACUGUUAAAAAUGUGUUGUUUCUUCAAUAAAGUGCAUGUUAGAAGCCAUGCGGCAUUUGAUAAACAAAGAUUUUGUGAAGUGAUGUAGCUGUUUCUCAUCAAAAUUACUACAUAAUACAGGAAGUAAAGUGAUAUAGAAACAGGGUUGGUACUUUUAAGAAGAGGAUUAAGUAUGGAUGAAGAUCAAUCAUAAAGUGAUGCAUUUUUAUGUAUCACAUGCAGUUACAUUGCAUGGUCAUCAUCUAAACCAAGUGCUUAGAAAAAUUAAAAAUUUAUGUGGUUU